AUUGAACGCUGGCGGCAGGCCUAACACAUGCAAGUCGAACGGUAGCACAGAGAGCUUGCUCGGGUGACGAGUGGCGGACGGGUGAGUAAUGUCUGGGAAACUGCCCGAUGGAGGGGGAUAACUACUGGAAACGGUAGCUAAUACCGCAUAAUGUCGCAAGACCAAAGAGGGGGACCUUCGGGCCUCUUGCCAUCGGAUGUGCCCAGAUGGGAUUAGCUAGUUGGUGAGGUAAUGGCUCACCAAGGCGACGAUCCCUAGCUGGUCUGAGAGGAUGACCAGCCACACUGGAACUGAGACACGGUCCAGACUCCUACGGGAGGCAGCAGUGGGGAAUAUUGCACAAAGGGCGCAAGCCUGAUGCAGCCAUGCCGCGUGUAUGAAGAAGGCCUUCGGGUUGUAAAGUACUUUCAGCGGGGAGGAAGGCAAUGCGGUUAAUAACCGUGUUGAUUGACGUUACCCGCAGAAGAAGCACCGGCUAACUCCGUG
rnacentral:rRNA from 1 species